CAGGAAGAAAUUGCAAAGAGCUAUAGGAAUAAGGAGCUGGAGCAGGCUGCGGUAUGAGACCACAGGCAAAGAGGGGAAGCGAAUAACCUCUGAACUCCAAGUGCAAGUGAAAGCAGAGCAUUAGUUGCAUGGGCAGCAAAGCCUGGAUGAGUGAAACUCUCUCUGUGGUUGGAAGCUAGAGGUGGAGGACAAAGGUGAAGGCAUCACAUCUCAUCAGUGUUUCUUGAUGAGACAGAUGUUCCUCAAAGGUCCUUUUCCCCAGUGCUUCAGAUCCUCAUCUGCAGAUGCAGCAUUAGUUACCGUCUUUCUGUGAUACCUUAAGGAGCUGAUGUACUUGUACUUGGUAUCUGUAUGUAAAACUAGGAAGAUGUAGCAAAAUAAAAACAUCGUUUCUCUGCCUUUUAGAUGCAUUACUUAAGAUGUUCUCAUUUUUCUUGUAAUAUUAUCUGGUAUCUCCUACCAUUAUUGAGUCCUUUAUAUGUGCAUGCAUACACACAAAAGUGAGUAGGUAAUGCAUGACCCCAAGAUCUGACAGCAAAAGACAACAAAAGAAGCAAAGAGACCAUGAUCACCAACUCACGGUCCCAGGAUGACUGCAGGUGCUCUGAGCUGCCACACUUCCUUGCUUGGGGAACUUGUUUGGCAUAGAGCAUCCUUCAGGCUUUCAAAUUUAUGUAAAGAGACCAUUAUCACGUUGAAGGAUACGUAAGAUUAAAACCUUCAAUGGAUGCCACCAGAUUAAUGGUAACAUUAAUCUUCACGAUGCAAAUGAGAAGGUGAGACACAA